GAAUUCUCAGGGUGACACCAGUUUUGAGAUAUUAAUUCCCGAACUUUGCGGAGAAAUGCAUUGGCGUUCCCGUUACUUUUGUGCUUCAAUGCAUAAAACGACGUUUUGUUAAGAAAGUAACUGGAAAGCCAAUGCAUUUCUGUGCAAGGUUAUAUCUCGAAACUGGUGGAAUCCUGAGAAUUCGUUCCAAGAGGAUCCGCCUAGCAAACUCUACGGCUAGAAUGUGUAAAUAGCAAUAUGGGCCUUAAGGUUAUUAGUUAAAAACGUAAUUGGUGAUAAUUUGUUAAUUAGUCCAUUAUGCAUUCCAAUUUUUGGUGCAAGUAAUGUCCGCCUCUUCGAGUAGACCAGCUCAUGAAUUAGAAUUGUGCUAUCUGCCACAGGCAACCUUUAAAAAUAUUUGAAAGUGUUCGCUGAAACACCAUGUAUAAUCCAAACACGUCUACGGCGAUUCUACAAGAAAGUUUAAAAACUCUUUGCAGUACAGGAAAACUUACGUCGUGUUGUCGUGUUAGAUGUUGUUCACUUCACAGCACAAAAAACAGCGCCGAUGAAAUUACUUCCCAAAAAGCAGCGCGUUCGCCGUUCAGUGUCGUCUGCACACAACACCAAAUCGUCGUCUGUUACAGCGUCCCCUUGUUUCAGCAGAUACCAAGAUAACUUGCACUUAACUCAUUUAGCGAAAUAUUAUCAAAUUAGUUGUCACCGGACAAGUUAAUGAAUUAAAAACAAUAAAUAUGGUAACAAUGAACGCGUUCGUCUGUAACAUUAUUCGAACAAGAAACAGACGACGCGUUUUCACGACUGCACCGAAGCUCACUGCCGCCGUACUGCAAUCUCCGCUGACUAAAAAUGUCGUUUCAGAGCCCCUCAGACGUAAGUGGUGUGUUAAUUAAGUGCUCCUGAACCGUUUUGGUGUUCUGGGAACUCUAAAUGAAACGAUAAACAUGUAGAAUCGCAUGCACUCGCUUAAUUUGCAGGGAACAUCUAGUCCUGACGAUGGAGCAAGAGAUCUUCAUGAAGAACUGGAGCGAUACCGACGAAUGUCUAUAGAAACCCUACAACAACUACAGGAGACUGUGAAAUUCAAAAAGGUAAUGUAUCGAGCUUGAACUAUAUCGGCGCUUUUUGGAGAGUAUGAUUCGUAACAAUGUGCCGUGUUUGCUUACAGGACAGGGAGAAAACAGAAAUGAACGACGAGAUGUCAAGGAUUUCCGACCCACUUUCCCCGAUACCAGAAGCACCUGAUAACACUGAGAUGAUAGAACAAGAACUGAGGGAAUGUACAGGGAUAGGCUUCGCGAAGGCUAUAGAUUGCACACUGAAGAAGGAACUGGGCGAAGCAAUUCGUACCUGCGAGAUAUUCAGGCAGAGAGUUGAAGUCCUGCUGGCAGAAGCGGCAGAGCUGAGCAGACUCCUGGAGCAGGCGGCCGAGACGGAUUCGGACGAGACCGGAUCCGCUCGCACAAGCAGUGGUAUGGCAAUGAAAUAACCGGAAUCCAUUUUACUUUUACCCUGAUACAGUGCGGCUUUGAGUUGCUCUCAAGCGUGGUACGACUGUGUCAGAUAAGGUUAGGCCAUCCAUUCUUUUGGUACCAAGGAAUACACUAAAGGAUGUUUUGCCGCAAAGAUGGACUCUGGUAUCAAGCAAUACCCUACAGAAUGAUUUGCAGCAAAGACUGGCUGUUUGUUGCUUACAACGCACAUAACCAAAAACAGAAAGAGCAAAUAAAAUUCUUUGUUA